rnacentral:pre_miRNA from 1 species
AUACAAAUCACCUAGGAAUCUUGUUAAAAUGUACAUUCCAGUUUAGUAGGUCUGGGUGAGGCCCGAGAGAACUGCAUUUCUAACAACUUUCCAGGUGCUGCUGCU